GCCAGCCCCGCGCUCUACCAGGCAGAGCGCGUGUGGCCGCCGAGCACAUGGACCCACUGGUCAAGCGGGCUCGGCAAGGCCAGGAUGAAGAGAAGCUACGAACUUAGCAUUCCCAGAGCCCCCCGAGUGGAUAUCCGCGUGGAAAGGAUGUUGGCAGCCCCGGUGACCUCGGAGUCACGGCUGGAUCCACCCUCUUAGAGCCGAGUUCUGUCACCACAGACAUUGGCAGUGGCACUUGCAUGCCCCUGGCAAGCAGUCUAUCCUGAGGUGGAGGAAGUUGCCCUUGAGUUCUGGCUGGUAACCAGCACAGUAUACCCUUUAAGCGUUCCAGAAGGAUUUUGAGAUCCUUUCCUAAAUCAAAGGUGGAAUAUUUGGGGAUUUGGAAAAUUGAGAUGUGAAGCGUUGACUUAAGAGAUGCCAAGUAACUCAGCAGAUGUCACACAGACGAUAAAUAGCAAAGAUGGAAGUCUUCAUGCCGGAGGCAAUCCUAUAAGACAGCUGAGUUCUGCAGAGCUGGUAGGAGACAGACUUGCUCAGGUGAUAGAUCCAGCCAUGAUACUGACCCUAAGAGAAUGAGACGCUCUGCAGAAGACAGAAGAUUCCUGAAACUGGGAAAGGUGCCUAGAAAUCCUGAUAAGAGUGAAGAAGGAGCUGGCAGAGCAGCCUUCCUCCGCACUAUGAAAGACAUCCAACAGAGAGCAAGUUCCCACCUCACUUCCAGCUUGACUCCUUUUUAUCUCCUAACUGUGGGUACCUGGAGGCACAGCAGCCAUGUUGAACCUAUGAGGUGAUGAAAAACCAUGCAACUAGAAACCAGAAUGGAAGAAAAGAAGAAGCUGGAUCCUUGACUGAAUUGUCGAUGGGGGAUAGUCCAUCAUCCCAGGGCUAAGACCACCUCCAGAUUUCUUGUUUGGUGAAACAAGUCCUGAUUGUUUACAUUCCCUCGUGUUGAGCUGUCUCUUGCUUGUAGCUGAAAGCAUUUCUAAUAGAUAUUCAGAUUAUCAGCCUUAGCUCCAAGCUAGAAUACUCUAUGGGACCUUAGCUUCUCCAUGAAUUCCUUUGCUCAUCUGUGUAAUGCUCAAUAAAUGUAAAUUGAACCCUGAAUGAGGGACAAUGACA
rnacentral:lncRNA from 1 species